GUGCUCACUUUGGCAGCACGUAUACUAAAACUGGAACAAUACAGAGGAGAUGAACCUGCCCCCUGCAUAAGGAUGACAUGCAAAUCUGUGAAGCAUUCCAUAUUUUU
ensembl:snRNA U6 U6 spliceosomal RNA